rnacentral:rRNA from 1 species
CAGUAGCCGCGGGAACACGUAGGGCGCAAGCGUUGUCCGGAAUUAUUGGGCGUAAAGAGCUCGUAGGCGGUCUGUCGCGUCUGGUGUGAAAUCCCGAGGCUCAACCUCGGGCUUGCAUCGGGUACGGGCAGACUAGAGUGCGGUAGGGGAGACUGGAAUUCCUGGUGUAGCGGUGGAAUGCGCAGAUAUCAGGAGGAACACCGAUGGCGAAGGCAGGUCUCUGGGCCGCAACUGACGCUGAGGAGCGAAAGCAUGGGGAGCGAACAGGAUUAGAUACCCCAGUAGUCCCUGUCUCUUAUAC